GACGAACGCUGGCGGCGUGCCUAAUACAUGCAAGUCGAACGCUGCAGGAGGAGCUUGCUUCUCUGGAUGAGUUGCGAACGGGUGAGUAACGCGUAGGUAACCUGCCUGGUAGCGGGGGAUAACUAUUGGAAACGAUAGCUAAUACCGCAUAAUAGUAGAUGUUGCAUGACAUUUGCUUAAAAGGUGCAAUUGCAUCACUACCAGAUGGACCUGCGUUGUAUUAGCUAGUUGGUGAGGUAACGGCUCACCAAGGCAACGAUACAUAGCCGACCUGAGAGGGUGAUCGGCCACACUGGGACUGAGACACGGCCCAGACUCCUACGGGAGGCAGCAGUAGGGAAUCUUCAGCAAUGGACGGAAGUCUGACCGAGCAACGCCGCGUGAGUGAAGAAGGUUUUCGGAUCGUAAAGCUCUGUUGUAAGAGAAGAACGAGUGUGAGAGUGGAAAGUUCACACUGUGACGGUAUCUUACCAGAAAGGGACGGCUAACUACGUG
rnacentral:rRNA from 1 species